UAGGGAAUCUUCGGCAAUGGACGAAAGUCUGACCGAGCAACGCCGCGUGAGUGAAGAAGGUUUUCGGAUCGUAAAACUCUGUUGUUAGAGAAGAACAAGGACGUUAGUAACUGAACGUCCCCUGACGGUAUCUAACCAGAAAGCCACGGCUAACUACGUGCCAGCAGCCGCGGUAAUACGUAGGUGGCAAGCGUUGUCCGGAUUUAUUGGGCGUAAAGCGAGCGCAGGCGGUUUCUUAAGUCUGAUGUGAAAGCCCCCGGCUCAACCGGGGAGGGUCAUUGGAAACUGGGAGACUUGAGUGCAGAAGAGGAGAGUGGAAUUCCAUGUGUAGCGGUGAAAUGCGUAGAUAUAUGGAGGAACACCAGUGGCGAAGGCGGCUCUCUGGGCUGUAACUGACGCUCAGGUGCGAAAGCGUGGGGAGCAAACAGG
rnacentral:rRNA from 1 species